rnacentral:rRNA from 1 species
AUUGAACGCUGGAGGCAUGCUUUACACAUGCAAGUCGAACGAGUGGCGAACGGGUGAGUAAUAUAUCGGAACGUACCGAGUAAUGGGGGAUAACCAAUCGAAAGAUUGGCUAAUACAGCAUAUUAUUCGAGCGGCCGUUAACUGAUUCGCUAGUUGGGUGGGUAAAGGCCUACCAAGGCGAAGAGCAGUAGCGGGUCUGAGAGGACGAUCCGCCACACUGGUGCUGAGACACGUCCCAGACUCCUACGGGAGGUAUCAGUGGGGACUUUUGGACAAUGGGGGCAACCCUGAUCCAGCCAUGCCGCGUGUAUUAAGAAGACCUUCGGGUUGUAAAGUACUUUUGUUAGGGAAGCGGUACCGAAAGAAUAAGCACCGGCUAACUACGUGCCAGCAGCCGCGGUAAUUC